rnacentral:misc_RNA from 1 species
GAGCCGUAGGUGAACCUGCGGCUGGAUCAUUAUCGAGCAUGAAAAUGACCAACUUUGGCAGACGUCUACUGUUCUGCUUGUGGCCGGAUUUGUGAGCGAUGCACUCGUCGAUUAGUGCAUGUCUGCUCGCCACAGUGACCCAACGGCUCUCGGUUGGCGUCUACCCAUUAGCGGAGCAGCUGUUGCCUCUAGUCCGUGGCUGUGAUGAUGCUUGUGGAAUAGUGUGCAUGCGCGCGCUGCUUUCGUUCACGAAAGCAGCGCGCAUGCUGAGACUUAAUGAGCACCAUGCCUGGGUGCCACCAACCACAAACACUUUUUUCUAACGAUUUUUCUUACUAGUAAAGACAAUAAAAUAUCAGUCUUACCGGUGGAUCACUCGGCUCGU